AUGAUCAGAACCAGAGAAAGAAAAGUUUGCCCACACAGAAGUCCGGCCGGCGCGGGAGUCCUUCAUCCCGACGGCUAUAUAACCGGGAAACGGAACCUCAAGACAAACAUUGGCAUCACCAUCUUCCCGAUCCUCAUCUGCGUUCUGCUUCUCGUGCUCCAGAACAUCAUCAACAAUGAGCUCGACAAGCCCAAGUACAACUGCGGUUGCGCCUGCGUCGACACCGACAUGUACGGGACCUGCAAGAAGAGGGAGUGCGGCGUCCAGUACUCGACACUGGAGCAGGUCUGGAGCUGCGCAAUUCCCAGCCCGCCGCGGUGGCCAGCACUGAUUCAGGUUCCCCAGCCUCAGUUCCGGGCUGUCAGAACUGUCUCCCAGCCAUUUGAUGAUUUGCCCGAUCCCUCAUGCCGUGACUCUUUGUCUUGCCCCGCCACUGUCCUCAUCACUGGAAAGGACCGAGGGUUUGCUGAAAGUAUUGCAGGAGGUCUGUUUCCUGUUUUCGCUCCCACUCUUAAUGUGACAGAUUAUCUUGAUGCUCUCUCCAGGAUAGUUGUUGGUUCAGACACCAUUCCAUGGUAUACACAAUUGAUAGAGCCCGCAUUUUCUUCUUCGGAUACUUUGUAUCUGCUCCAGCCUCAGUGUGUGCCCUAUUUGUCGCAGACCAUUUCAUAUAACGCCAGGGGCAUACCGCUCCAGCUAAAUAUACAGUGUGUUGAAGGUGUGUUGUUGUGGCGUGAGAGUACAUCAGUUAUCAAUGAUGAAUUAUUAAAGGGUUAUACACAAAGAGGAGGAAAAACAAACGAGUUUAUUGCAGGUUAUGACUUCUUGAGCUCAACGGAGUAUGGCCUCGGUAUAAAUGUUUGGUACAACUCUACUUAUAGCGGUAAAACCGCAUUUUCAUUUAUCGCAGCAUUACGAGUUCCACGCUUGGUGAAUGCCGUAUCCAACGCAUAUCUCAAAUAUAUCCGAGGACCUGGGGUGGAAGUGCUAUUGGAAUAUGUAAAAGAUAUGCCCAAAGUUGGAACAAGUUAUAGGUUCGACCUCUCUUCUCUUAUCAGUCCGCUAUUCUUCACAUGGAUCGUUGAACUGCUUUUCCCAGUUAUGUUGACGUAUCUGGUGUAUGAGAAGCAACAAAAGUUGAAAAUUAUGAUGAAGAUGCAAGGUCUGAAGGACGGACCUUACUGGAUGAUAUCUUAUGGUUAUUUCUUCGUUCUAUCGGUUGUGUAUAUGACAUUUUUUGUGUUUUUUGGAUCCUUGAUAGGUCUCAAUUUCUUCAGGGUCAAUAACUAUGGCAUACAGAUUGUUUUUUUCUUUGUCUAUAUAAAUUUACAGAUUGCUUUUGCCUUUUUUGUGGCAUCUUUCUUUUCAUCUGUCAAGAUAGCCACAGUGAUUGGUUACAUCUAUGUAUUUGGCUCUGGCUUACUAGGGGCCUUUCUUUUCCGCUUUUUUAUUGAGGACAUAAAUUUUUCCCGUGGUUGGAUAUUAGUUAUGGAGAUUGUCCCAGGAUUUUCGCUCUAUCGAGGACUGUAUGAGCUUGGUCAAUAUGCAUUCUCUGGGAAUGCUAUGGGAGCCACUGGCAUGAUGUGGGAAAAUUUGAAAGACCCAAUCAAUGGAAUGCGUGAUAUCUUGAUCGUAAUGACUGUAGAAUGGGCAUUAAUGCUUGUGUUAGCAUUCUAUUUGGAUCAAGUCUCUUCAAUAGGUGGCAGUGUCGGAAACCCCUUACUCUUCUUUAGAUGUCUGCAGAAGAAACAUGCACCACCAUUACAAAGUAGCUUUGCGCAGCAGAAUCAUAAAGUAGCCGUUGAUAUGGAGAAAGCAGAUGUUGCUCAAGAACGACAAGUAGUUGAGCAAUUAUUGAUGGAUUGCAAUGCAAACCAAGCUAUCAUCUGUGACAAUCUGAGGAAGGUUUAUCCUGGAAAGGACGGAAACCCAGACAAGCUGGCUGUUCGAGGAUUAUCUUUGGCCCUACCAAAAGGCCAAUGCUUCGGAAUGCUUGGCCCAAAUGGAGCUGGGAAAACAUCAUUCAUUAGUAUGAUGGUUGGACUUACUAAACCUACAUCUGGUACUGCUUAUGCACAUGGAAUGGAUAUAAGGAUGGAUAUGGAUGGCAUAUAUACAAAUAUGGGCGUGUGCCCACAGCAUGACUUACUUUGGGAAACAUUGACGGGAAAAGAGCAUCUAUUCUUCUAUGCUAGGUUGAAGAAUCUUCAAGGUGCUGCAUUAGUGAAGGCUGUUAAUGAUUCUCUGAAAAGUGUAAAUCUGUUUCAUGGUGGUGUUGGUGAUAAGCAAGUGGGAACGUACAGCGGAGGCAUGAAAAGAAGGCUCAGUGUGGCAAUAUCAUUAAUCGGAGACCCCAAAGUUGUCUACAUGGAUGAGCCAAGUACAGGACUAGAUCCGGCAUCAAGAAAUAACCUGUGGAACAUUGUGAAGGAGGCUAAGAGAAACCGUGCAAUUGUUCUUACUACACACUCAAUGGAGGAGGCAGAAGUACUUUGUGACCGACUUGGCAUAUUCGUCGAUGGCGAGUUCCAAUGCCUCGGAAACCCUAAAGAGCUGAAGGCAAGAUACGGGGGUGCAUACAUAUUUACAGUGACAACACCACCAGAACAAGAGUCGAAGAUUGAACAGCUAGUCCAUCGCCUGUCACCAAGUGCAAACAAGAUCUACAAUCUUUCUGGCACUCAAAAGUUUGAGCUGCCAAAGCAGGAGGUGAGAAUAGCCGAUGUCUUUCAUGCAGUCGAGAGGGCGAAAAGCAGGCUCAGCAUACAUGCUUGGGGUCUCGUUGACACUACCUUGGAGGAUGUCUUCAUCAAGGUUGCCAAGGGAGCACCGGUGUUCAAUGAUGUUGCAUAG
rnacentral:rRNA from 1 species